CUCUCAGCAGUGACUGGUCCUCUCCUCACCAGGGCUCCUCCCUGUCAUGCUGUUUGUGGUUGUACUUGGAAGUGUGGCCCAGGGAAGGACACAGAGUGGGGAGAGUGGCCAAAAAAUUCUGGAAGUUCUUCUCCUGGCUGAUUUCUGAGGGCCAUUUUCCUCCUUUAGCUGGAGCACUGGCACUUUUGUCAAAUGUUGAGGUCCAACUGGAAGUAGCACCAUGUUUACAUGCCUGACUUUCUUCAUGGAUUCUGUGGCACCUCAGGGCUCACGCCUUCCCAUCCUCAUCUUCAGAUCAGUGGGUUUUCAUAUGCUGUCUCCCCUUCAGGCUCUUGGUAGUGUUAUCUCAUGAUCAGGUCAGACAGGGUUGGCUGGGACCAAACAAGCCCCCUGAGUGAGCAUACAAUUUGUAAAGAGUUAUAUCCACUGAAGGAGGACAAGUACUAGAGGAAAGGCUUACGCAGAGGUCAUCAGAAGCCAGGGCUUCAGUUGACUUGGGGCAAAUAAUUGAUACCACUAAGGUCCAACAAGACAGAAUGAAAGGUGGCAGGAAUAUGACAGACUUAGAUUCUCCCCAUUUAAAGUGCACCUAAUAUGUGUGUAGGUACUAAUUCCUCACUAUAUAAUACUGCAAUUAAUUCUAUGAGAACAGUGCAUUGUCCCCACUAGAUGGCCAAAGAAACCGAGACUUGGCAGGUUUAAACAACAUGCCCAAGUCAUAAAGUUACUCACAGAGAGAUUGAGGUCCUUUGAUUUCAAGUUUGCCCCUUACCUUUGUGACCCUGAACAAUCAAGGAUCAGGUAUUACUUGGAGAAGGAAGCAGUGGGUAGGCAAUGGACAUUAGGAGAUUAUGAAAACUAAAUUCUUUGCAGGGCUGGAAAGUUAUCCUGAGGCCCCAUAGCUACCUGAAGUAGGGUUGACUGGGUCUCAGAAAAAAAGAAGCCUUUUUAAAAAUAUUUUUUUAGUUAUAGAUGGAAACAAUGCUUUAUUUUGUUUAUUUAUUUUAUGUGGUGUUGGGGAUCGAACCCAGGGCCUCACACAUACUAGGCAAGUGUUCUACCACUGAACUACAAUCCCAGCCCCAAGAAGCCUGGUUUUAAGAAGUGAGGUCUAAGAUCAUAUCCAGACUAUCUGAUGAUAUAAUGGUGAGUCAC
rnacentral:lncRNA from 1 species